CCUANGGGGGGCUGCAGUAAGGAAUAUUGGUCAAUGGACGCAAGUCUGAACCAGCCAUGCCGCGUGAAGGAAGACGGCCCUACGGGUUGUAAACUUCUUUUGUACAGGAAAAAACCACCGGUCGUGAACCGGUGCUGAUGGUACUGUAAGAAUAAGCAUCGGCUAACUCCGUGCCAGCAGCCGCGGUAAUACGGAGGAUGCAAGCGUUAUCCGGAUUCAUUGGGUUUAAAGGGUGCGCAGGCGGAAUGAUAAGUCAGUGGUGAAAUCCUACGGCUCAACUGUAGAACUGCCAUUGAUACUGUCGUUCUUGAGUACACUUGGAGUGGGCGGAAUGUGUCAUGUAGCGGUGAAAUGCUUAGAUAUGACACAGAACACCGAUCGCGAAGGCAGCUCACUAAGUUGUAACUGACGCUCAGGCACGAAAGCGUGGGGAUCAAACAGGAUUAGAUACCCCANUANUC
rnacentral:rRNA from 1 species